AUUCAAUCUAAACCACCUAUAUGGCAAAGCAAACAUCCACACCACAAUAAUCGCAUAAUAACAAGAAAGUUAUGGAGUGAAAUAAAAGAACAAUUUCCUAAAAGUGAAGAAAAACAACUGCGUAAGAAGUGGAAGAAUCUGCGCGAUCAGUAUCGAAAAGAAAAAAAGAAAUUCCCUACGCCGCGCUCUGGUGACGGUGGCGAUGAAAUAGAGAGCACAUGGCCAUACUUUCAACUUAUGCAAUUCAUAAACGAUGACAUUACACCGGAAGUCAUGACGGGAAAUCUGCAUGACAGUGAUUCGGAAUCCCUCAACGAGUCUUGUCAAACUGAGCAAUCGAACACUGCUGACGUGAUGAGUCCAUGUACAUCAACCUGCAGCAGUCACACAAACGCGUUAAAGCGCAACAAAACGGCAUCAGAUUAUAGAGAUGAACUUAUAGAAUGCGAAAGAAAAAAAAUUUUGCUAAUUGAACAGAAAAUGGCGUGAAAUAGUGACCAGUCGGAGAAAUGUGAUGAUUAUCAUUUUUUUAUGAGUCUCCUACCACAAAUGAAAAAGUUUGGUGAAUUACAAAAGUUACGCAUUCGAAAUAAAAUUACCCAAAUCAUAAUAGAUGAGGCAGAAAGAAUGCAGUUUUCUCAACCGAGAUACGAAGAAAAUUAUGGAGGAUAUAUUACUGGCAACUACCCUAAUUAUUAAUUUGAUUAUUAAAACUUUUUACUUACC